GAGUGGCGGACGGGUGAGUAACGCGUGGGUAACCUGCCCUGUACAGGGGGAUAACAGCUGGAAAACGGCUGCUAAUACCGCAUAAGCGCACGAGGAGACAUCUCCUUGUGUGAAAAACUCCGGUGGUAUAAGAUGGACCCGCGUCUGAUUAGCUGGUUGGUGAGGUAACGGCUUACCAAGGCAACGAUCAGUAGCCGACUUGAGAGAGUGAUCGGCCACAUUGGGACUGAGACACGGCCCAAACUCCUACGGGAGGUAGCAGUAGGGAAUAUUGCACAAUGGGGGAAACCCUGAUGCAGCGACGCCGCGUGAAGGAUGAAGUAUUUCGGUAUGUAAACUUCUAUCAGCAAGGAAGAAAAUGACGGUACUUGACUAAGAAGCCCCGGCUAAAUACGUGCCAGCAGCCGCGGUAAUACGUAGGGGGCGAGCGUUAUCCGGAUUCAUUGGGCGUAAAGCGCGCGUAGGCGGCCCGGCAGGCCGGGGGUCGAAGCGGGGGGCUCAACCCCCCGAAGCCCCCGGAACCUCCGCGGCUUGGGUCCGGUAGGGGAGGGUGGAACACCCGGUGUAGCGGUGGAAUGCGCAGAUAUCGGGUGGAACACCGGUGGCGAAGGCGGCCCUCUGGGCCGAGACCGACGCUGAGGCGCGAAAGCUGGGGGAGCGAACAGGAUUAGAUACCCUGGUAGUCCCAGCCGUAAACGAUGGAAGCGAGGUGUGGGGGGACGAUCCCCCCGUGCCGCAGCCAACGCAUUAAGCGUCCCGCCUGGGGAGUACGGCCGCAAGGCUAAAACUCAAAGGAAUUGACGGGGGCCCGCGCAAGCAGCGGAGCAUGUGGCUUAAUUCGAAGCAACGCGAAGAACCUUACCAGGGCUUGACAUGUGGGUGAAGCGGGGGAGACCCCGUGGCCGAGAGGAGCCCAUACAGGUGGUGCAUGGCUGUCGUCAGCUCGUGUCGUGAGAUGUUGGGUUAAGUCCCGCAACGAGCGCAACCCCCGCCGCGUGUUGCCAUCGGGUGAUGCCGGGAACCCACGCGGGACCGCCGCCGUCAAGGCGGAGGAGGGCGGGGACGACGUCAAGUCAUCAUGCCCCUUAUGCCCUGGGCUGCACACGUGCUACAAUGGCCGGUACAGAGGGAUGCCACCCCGCGAGGGGGAGCGGAUCCCGGAAAGCCGGCCCCAGUUCGGAUUGGGGGCUGCAACCCGCCCCCAUGAAGUCGGAGUUGCUAGUAAUCGCGGAUCAGCAUGCCGCGGUGAAUGCGUUCCCGGGCCUUGCACUAACGGCCCGUCA
rnacentral:rRNA from 1 species